GAUGAACGCUGGCGGCGUGCCUAAUACAUGCAAGUCGAGCGAACGGACGAGAAGCUUGCUUCUCUGAUGUUAGCGGCGGACGGGUGAGUAACAUGUGGAUAACCUACCUAUAAGACUGGGAUAACUUCGGGAAACCGGAGCUAAUACCGGAUAAUAUUUUGAACCGCAUGGUUCAAAAGUGAAAGACGGUCUUGCUGUCACUUAUAGAUGGAUCCGCGCUGCAUUAUCUAGUUGGUAAGGUAACGGCUUACCAAGGCAACGAUGCAUAGCCGACCUGAGAGGGGGGUCGGCCACCCUGGAACUGAGACACGGUCCAGGCUCCUGAGGGAGGGAGCAGUAGGGAAUCUUACGCAAUGGGGGGAAACCUGGCGGAGCAAGGGCGCGUGAGUGAUGAAGGUCCUCGGAGCGUAAAACCCUGUUUUUAGGGAAAAACAGAUGUGGAAGGUACUGUGCACAUCUUGACGGUACCUAAUCAGAAAGCCACGGCUAACUACGUG
rnacentral:rRNA from 1 species